AUUAUUCACACAAAUUCUGGGCAGUCUUCUGGCUUUUAAAUACUUCCUCGAAUGACUUGGUGAAAAAUGAGGAGCCAAGCAGGGUGCUGUUAGAAGCAAUGAGCCUUGUGAAAGCACUCAGAUGCCAUCCUGAUAACAGCCCGAGAAAAGCUCACAAGAAAAUCAGCAAUUGUGUCUUCCAAGCAGAUAUAAGUCGUGCAUGUGCAAAAGGAUACCUGUGCCUAAAAAGAAACAAAAUCUGAAUUCCAAAAUGGAUGUUGUUCAAUGAAAUGUGCAGGAUCUUAAAUCUUGGCUCUGUUGAAGACAUGCUUCUUGGUACCUGGAUUCUGGAGUAUCUUCUCAGUGGAAAGGAACAUGGAGUUCCCAAUUCCCUCACAUGGUGUCUGAUGCAAGUAAAGGAGUUUGCAGAUCUGAAGAUCUUUUUGAGGUGUGAUGUUCCUGUGGUGCUGUUCUCCCUCUGGGCAGUGAUGCACAGCAGGGACUUAUCCAGAUGAUCUGAGGAGGAGCCACCUCACCAGUGUAAGACUGUAAGAGCUUCUUCACCCUGUUUUGGUCCAAGUUCCUGAGCUGAUAUCUCUGGACAUGUUGCUCAUCAAACACCCCAGCUCUCCUCAGUAACAUUGCUGCUGUCAGCCAGCCAGUAACCUCUGCUCUGGCCAUCAAACAUCACCACUAAAAGUUCAAGACAGAUCUCCCCUCUAGUGUCACACAGAUCUGGCCCUUCCUUUCCUGGAGCCUGUCACACAGUGAUGGGACCCGACUGCCUCCUGGGCACCACACAGUUCCCUGCAUUUCAGAAUCUCAGCUGGAUCCUUGAUAGCUGGACACAACUGCUUCCCUGCCCUGAAACUGGAGCAAGAAGAGCCAGGACACCACCCCCAUGCCCUGCUUGUCCUGGCAGAGGGAGAGGAUGCUGUUUGCCUGAACGUUCCCUUCAGUGUGCAGCAGGUCUAAAGAUGUGACAACCACUUUGGUAUGUCCUCUGCCAUUCUGUGUGACAUAGCCCACUUGGGAAUUUGCAACCCUGAAGAUCUGCCCCUUACAAGAUUCCUGCAGGAAACACACAGAAGAACAAAACUUUGGAUUAUGCCUGUGAUGGGAAAAGCUGCAGCGAUGACUGACUGGAAAGGCUGAUCCUUCUCACACCAAAUACCACUGCCUUGCUACCAGAUGGAGGCAACACGUUCAGCUGCAAAACCAAAAGCAGGACCCAGCAGGUCCCGACCUGCGGCGACAGGAGCGGCUCUGCCUGGGACUGAACCCCCAACUGCAGCUUCUCCACUUCCAGCUCCUGGAAAGAUGGGAAGCCCUUGAGCCCUUGAAGGCUGUGAGCCACUUGACCACUGCUCUUUACUGGAUGAACCACUCCUGCUUGUUUAUCUUCCCUACUUUUUCAUGCUCUGGACUAUCAGUAAGAAUUACUCAAAUAAUUCGAAGCUCAUGCCUGAGAGAAAAGCUGUAGCUGAAAGCCCAGGGCUGGGAUCACCCACUGGCUCCGGGAGGCACUGGGGAAGUGUCAACUGGAUGAGGAGAACGAGGAGUCCUUUGGAAGAUUGGAAUAUUUUCCCAUUUGCUCCAGUCCUCUCUGCCUGGCAGUGGUGGCUGCCCCUGAGCCCGCCCUGGGAACGCUCUCCCCACACUCAGUGUACAUUGGCAGCCACUCUGCUUCCCACCCUGAGAACAUCCCACUCUGCUGCAGCACAACUGUGGGAGUUUGGCUUUGUUUGUUUUCCUUCCCCCCCAGGAGGAGGUUGUUCCCGAAAAUGCUCCCAGUGAUUCUCACCUCAGGAUUGCUGCUUCAGUGAAAUGUACCCAAUUCUCUGGGAAGGGCUGGCUUUGAUGACUACUCAGAUUUGAAGGAAUUCUGGAAGAAAUUAUUGAACCAGGACUUUUCAACAUUCUCAUAAAGAAAUAUGUGUUUCUCAUUUGAAGGUGACUUUCUAAUUUGGAAUUGGAAUAGUAUUUUCUUUAGAUAGGAAAUAGUCCAAUUCUGAAAUAGCAAUGUUAUAUAUCUCUAUUAACCUGAUAUCAUUAUGGAAUGUAUAAUUUACAGUUAUUAUGGCAAAAGGAAAAUAUUUGAGAUAAUUCCUUUUAAAACAAAAAUCUGUUGAGAGAAGUGAUUCAGAAAUUUCAAGAAGCCUUGAAUGUAAGAAAAUCUUUUUCCCUUCUCUUUCAAGUACCAUUUGCUUGAAUGCUAUUUAAUGUUGGUUUUACAUUUGGCUGAAUUUCCUCUGUUUUAAAGACUUUUAAUUUGCAUUAAAAAAAAAAAAAGCUUGGAAAUCCAUGUGGUGGCCACUGAGGACUUGCACUAUGGAAAAAUGUUGCUAGGAGCUGGAGAUCCAAGAAAUCAAACACAAGAAAACUGCUCCUGGAAGUCCAGGAAUAGGAAGAAUGAGGAGAUCAUGCUGGGGCCUGGACAUUUGGUGUCAAGGGAUGUGGAAUAUGGAUAUCAGGGUUUAGGGACACUGGAGCAGAGAGGGCAGCCACCAGUGAUUAGAAGGAUAAUUGUACCAGGACAGAGAGAAAUAAAAACAAGAAGGAAGGGGAGUUUAUUGCUAGCAGUUUGUGUUGGUGCUGUAUUUCUAAGGAGACCAUGAGUAUGGGCUAACUCAGCAUGAGAUCAAACAGCAGUGCCUGCUUUAAUGCUUUUUUGCCCCCCCUAAAGACUGCUUAUUAGCAGUUUAUUUAAAAUAAUGAAAUCUGAGUUGUCAGUUUAUUCAGGCUAAAUUUUAACAUGGAUUUCUGUGCAAAGGCAGAAUCACUUCUGAGCUAAAAUCAUGUAUGAACUCUGCAACCCUUUGGCUUCUCUUUGUCAGCUUUCCCAGAUAAAAAUGGGUUUGCUUUUAGGAAUGACCUCUCUCAUUUUCAGGUACUUUGUGAUCUGUUGCCAGGCCAUUGGUUCACUAGUGUGGGUUUCCUGACAAUGGUUAGGAAGCAAAGGACAGACCUUUAAAGAAAAGACACCAAUGCACACACCAGUUACCCACACUGCAGCUUUUAGGAAGGUUUUUGCACCAAGCCUGUUUUGACUUAUGUAGAUUUUUGCUCUAGAUUUUAGUCAGAAACUGAACUCAGUAGACUUGUCUAUCCUGAACUGUACAUCUGAAGGAACAGACUCAGAAUUUUAGUCUGCAGCUGAUACUUGUGGUUGUGUCCACCAUAUCUCAAGACCAAAUUGCAGUUCAUAUGUGAACACCCUCUUAGCAUGCAGAGAUUUAGCAUGAGCUUUUUUGCAAUAACCCCUCAAUGCUUGGUUUAACAUGUUAUUUUUAAACUUGGAAACAAAACCAUCCAAGUUGCAUAUUCACAGACAUAAA